rnacentral:tRNA from 1 species
GGGGUUAUAACUCAAUUGGUAGAGUAUGUGUUUUGCAUACACAAGGUUGUUGGUUCAAGUCCGACUAAUUCCA